GAGUUAGUUCGCUAGCUUCUAUCUAAAUACAAUAUAGCAUGUCCUGACUGCGGGGUUUUGGAAACAAAUUAAAACGUACAGCUCUGCUAUCACUUCCAGCAUAAAUGAAGACAGAAAACUAAACAGCAGUGACGUUUGUAGGGUUACUGAAGUUGGGCUAGCUGGUAUAUAAUGAUGUGCUACGUGACCGCUAGCGACACAGCUAUGCUAGCAUAAUAUAAACAAGCUAACUUUUUUUCCACUCGAUAAAAGUUACCGUGAGUGUUGUCGGUGGUCAGGAACAAAUGUAAUCGCAUGGCAGGAUGCUGUAAAAGGACCAAACUUCAGCCAGGAGAACAACUGAGAUAAUCCAUUCACAAUACGAGGUUAGUCAUUCAUAUACUGCUGCAUGGGCUGGGCUGUAGUUACAUCCUAAGGUUUUAAAAACUGAGCUUAAAUAAAUGAUUAGCGGUAAUAAAAGCCGAGGGAGGUCAACAGUGAUCACUGACUGUUUUAGGAGCUUUUUGAGAUCAAAUAGAAGAAAAUACAUAACAUUAAACAUGUUAACAACACAAAAGCCAUAUUAAACGCAGACUACUUUAGACCCAGAAGUAGGAUUCGUCGCGUCAUCACUGAACAACCGGAUUAAAAAAAAAAGCCUUAUGAUAUGAACAAGACUUUAACAAGGAUUUAAAAGACGACACUGAUGAGGCGAGCCAGAUUUCUUCAGGCAGGUCGUCCCAGGAUCGAGGAGUCCUCACAGCAAACAUUCAGUCGUCUUUAAGUGUGAGCUGGGAACAGUGAACAGGUUUGUGGCUGCAGCAUCUCAGGAUGUACACACUGACUGGGACACAAGCACCAGUUCCACUAAAUAUUCUGGUGCCAGUAACCUGUUAAGAUGGAGCAAUUUGAUGUUAUUUAAUCAGUUUAUUUUUCAUCCUGCAGUUAAAAUGUAUCAAAACAAGAUUGUGUGUCUGCAGAUGCUGUGUGAUCUGACACACCUGCACAAAAUGUGUCCAAGUUCAAUAAGUUACAUUAUUGUAACUGUGAUGCGUUCACUGACAUGUCCUGAUGCUUUGCUGUAUAUAAAGAGAACAGAGAGGCUCUGCUUUGUGCUUAUAUUCUCCUCCUGUGUGUUUGUGUGUGCAGAGUUUCUACCAGAGCCAAAUGUCAUCGACUCCUCACUGAAGUCGUCCACCAGUCCAACCACUGGGAUCCAGCUGCUGCUCUCUAACUGGUCCACACAGCAGCUCAGACCUGACACAUUUACUGUAAACACACUGGUUUAUAUUCUGUUUGUUCUCCUCAUGAAAGAAACCUCACACAACCUCUGAGGGCAGAAAGUUCAAAUGGAGAGUUUUUGUUAUUUUCUUUUAUAAAGAAGCUGGAAAAAUUUAACUUUCUUAAUUUAGUUUUUAAAUUUUUUAUAUAAAAAAGAAAAAUUUUCUUCAUCAGGCCUUUCAGAAUAAAAGCAUGACCAAGACACAAAUUAUACAUAAACAAUAAUAAAUGUUAUGUAACUAAAAUGUAGAUGUAAUCCAAGUUUCAUGUCUUCAGUAACUUUGCUCUUAUUUAUGUUAUUUCUAAGUGUGCUGUCGUCUCCACAGCAGUGAUCUGGUUUCUCUGCAGGUUCAAUAAACUUUGGUCUCACUUGA
ensembl:lncRNA